rnacentral:rRNA from 1 species
UACGGAGGGGGCUAGCGUUGUUCGGAAUUACUGGGCGUAAAGCGCACGUAGGCGGCUUUGUAAGUUAGAGGUGAAAGCCCGGAGCUCAACUCGGAAUUGCCUUUAAGACUGCAUCGCUUGAAUCCGGGAGAGGUGAGUGGAAUUCCGAGUGUAGAGGUGAAAUUCGUAGAUAUUCGGAAGAACACCAGUGGCGAAGGCGGCUCACUGGACCGGUAUUGACGCUGAGGUGCGAAAGCGUGGGGAGCAAACAGG